GAUUUUAGGUAGCCGUUGGAUACGGCCCACGUGCUAUCGUACGGUGAGCCAGGUCCGGAACGGUAUCGGACAAGAUCGACUUACGGCGCAGCAGGCGGAAACUUACUGCACGCGAGUGCGAUAAGGGACUCCGAGUGCGAGGGCAUUAGUCCUCGCUUCACGACGUAGGUGGUCGUAGAUAGUGCUGGGCAGACCGGUGCCAGCGCGCGUAUACGCAGCACGAGUGAUGACCGCUAUUAUGGGCUAAAGCGUCGUAGCUGGCCACGCAAGUCUAUCGGGAAAUCCGCGCGCUUACGCGCGGGCGUCCGGUGGAAACUGCGUGGCUUGGGACCGGAAGACCAGAGGGGUACGUCCGGGGUAGGAGUGAAAUCCCGUAAUCCUGGACGGACCACCGGUGGCGAAAGCGCCUCUGGAAGACGGAUCCGACGGUGAGGGACGAAAGCUCGGGUCACGAACCGGAUUAGAUACCCGGGUAGUCCGAGCUGUAAACGAUGUCUGCUAGGUGUGGCACAGGCUACGAGCCUGUGCUGUGCCGUAGGGAAGCCGUGAAGCAGACCGCCUGGGAAGUACGUCCGCAAGGAUGAAACUUAAAGGAAUUGGCGGGGGAGCACUACAACCGGAGGAGCCUGCGGUUUAAUUGGACUCAACGCCGGACAUCUCACCAGCAUCGACAAUGUGCAGUGAACGUCAGGUUGAUGACCUUACUGGAGCCAUUGAGAGGAGGUGCAUGGCCGCCGUCAGCUCGUACCGUGAGGCGUCCUGUUAAGUCAGGCAACGAGCGAGACCCGCACUCCUAAUUGCCAGCAACACCCUUGCGGUGGUUGGGUACAUUAGGAGGACUGCCAGUGCCAAACUGGAGGAAGGAACGGGCAACGGUAGGUCAGUAUGCCCCGAAUGUGCUGGGCGACACGCGGGCUACAAUGGCCGAGACAGUGGGAUGCAACCCCGAAAGGGGACGCUAAUCUCCGAAACUCGGUCGUAGUUCGGAUUGAGGGCUGAAACUCGCCCUCAUGAAGCUGGAUUCGGUAGUAAUCGCGCCUCAGAAGGGCGCGGUGAAUACGUCCCUGCUCCUUGCACACACCGCCCGUCAAAGCACCCGAGUGGGGUCCGGAUGAGGCCGACGCAACGUCGGUCGAAUCUGGGCUCCGCAAGGGGGCUUAAGUCGUAACAAGGUAGCCGUAGGGGAAUCUGCGGCUUGG
rnacentral:rRNA from 1 species